rnacentral:rRNA from 1 species
CCUACGUGAGGCAGCAGUGAGGAAUAUUGGUCCAUGGACGCAAGUCUGAACCAGCCAUGCCGCGUGCAGGAAGACGGCUCUAUGAGUUGUCAACUGCUUUUGUACGCGGGUAAACGCAGAUACGCUUAUCUGUCUGAACGUAUCGUACGAAUAAGGAUCGGCUAACUCCGUGCCAGCAGCCGCGGUAAUACGGAGGAUUCAAGCGUUAUCCGGAUUUUUUGGGUUUAAAGCGCUCAUAGGCGGUAUGUCAAGUCAAGGGUGAAAUCCCCGCGCUCAACGUUGGAACUGCCUUUGAACCUGGCAAACUGGAGUGUGUGAGAGGAUAGUGGAAUUCCAGGUGUAGGAGUGAAAUCCGUAGAUAUCUGGAGGAACAUCAGUGGCGAAGGCGAAUAUAUGGCACAUAACUGACGCUGAGGAGCGAAAGCGUGGGUAGCAAACAGGAUUAGAUACCCGAGUAGUC